GGCCGCGUCUUUCUCUUUGGGUGGUGGGCUAGCGGAUGGUAACUAUGUCCUUCUUGGUGUGUGCUUGGCCCGCGCUGCGGAGCUUGUUGCUGAGCAAGGUGAAUUGGCAGGCUCCGCGCCGCCUUUGCAGAGUUCAGGUACCUUGGAGCCUCCUGGGGGAAGGCACAGCAGACUUCGGCCGAGCUGGGUGAACGACCGUUGCAGAGCAGUUUUUUGUAUCUUCCUGAGGCCACUGCUUGAAACUGACCUAGCUGAGGUCAGGGAACUCAUUAGAGUCCCCCCGGCCUCUGCUUGGUUUCUUCCCAAGCUUCUGAUCCUCAUAGCGCCAUAAUGGAAUUUUAAGACGUCCAUCAGUGUGUUGUCCUUGAAUAAAGGAGAGUUCUGGAAGCCCAGUCAGGGGCAUUGUUCCUUCACAGAUUCUGCACUAACCUGAUGGCCACAGGCCUAAAGUUUGGAGCCUAUUCCCAUGGGGACUUGGCUGUGAUGUUAGAUGAUGGUUUCUGCUACUGACCUUCAGGCUGUGACGGGUGGAGAGCCAUGCCCUUUCUCCCCAGUUACUGUGGAAUUUGCUGUCACAAAGGAUGUCUUCUAGCUGGUGUUGAGCAGAUUCUAGGAACUUCUUUCCUGUAUUAACCUGUGUGAGCAGCUGCAGUCAUAUUGGAGAAAAAUCUCACCUAGAAAUUUGGGGGCACUUAUGUGACAAGUAGAUAGAUACCUUUCACUUUAUCAGAUAUACAUCUGUCUGGUUUUAUCUGAAGAAUUCCAAUAAAAUAAUUUAAAGCAAAUAAAAAUAUUGUUUGGUCUCU